CAUCCCCUCCCACACCCCCAAUUCCACCUCCUUUGCCCUCCUCCUGCCGAGGGUUUCCGAAUGUCUUCGGGGCCUUUCCGAAGCCGCCGAAGCCGCUCGGCCCUCUCCGCUUGGACCCCGACUGUGCUCCGAACACUGUCGAGAUCCUCCGAGCCCCGCUCCCAGGUCAGGCCGAGCGGAGCCGAACACCGCCGAGCCAAGCUCAGCCCCAUCGACUUUUCCAGCCUCGGCUGGGCGCUGUCCACCACUUACAACGCCUGAAACCUCACCCUGGCUCAGGAGGCCGAGGCUUCUACCGGACUCCCGGCCUGCCACAGUGGAUUACAGACUUGUGAAGUUUCGAAACCUGCCCCUAAGGAGAAAGAGGUGGCGCGGUUUGCAUUUCCCGACACGCGAGGGCUCCAGGCAGAUGCAACAUGCACCUUGUUGCAAAGAGCAAUUCCCCAGGCCCCGCCUCCCCAUCCAUUUGGACUGCACAAGCCCCAGAGAAACCCCAGGCCAAAUUACUGGUGGCUCAGAAGGGUGAGGCUAGCCGAAGGGGCCUGUGAGAAGAAAGCCCCCGGGAGCUCUCGAACGCAAAUAAGAACAUGCCAAGCAGAUGGGAGAAACUGUCUCCUAGUCGCUGCUCCCUACCAUCAUGGCGCCGCCUGGAACUCGCUUGUCAUGCCUGUUACACAUGCAAGAAUUUUUGCUUCUUGGUUUUGAAACCACAAGCACGAUUUGUCUCCCACCCACCUUCCCUCGAAAGGGGCUUUUAUUUUCCAUUGUUUUCCUACGGGAUGCAAUUACUUCGGCUAUUCUGUCAAGUUGAAAAAUAAUCAUUUUUGUUUACAGCACAGCAACCUCUAAUUAGGAGCUGUGUGUGCACGAAGGUGUCACAGCAAAGCGACAUGGAAUCCUCGCUAAACGGUCCUAACGAACUCCUCCGUCCCGAACUGACAGGCCAACGGAAACAGGGCCAGGAGGCCCGGAAGGCACGCACCCGUUCCCUGCCGGCCACCCCUCCCCAGGCAGAGCUGCCUGGAGGCUCACCGGGAACCGUGGAGUGGAUGGGGCAAGAAGCAAGCCAGAGAGGAGGAAGGACGGGCGAGGCUCCUAAGUGGGGAAAUGUGGAAAGGAAGGAAUAUCCCAUUUUGUUUUAAUUUUCAACCAUCACUCAAAUCCACCCCCAGUUAAUUAGGAGGGGAAACUGAUAUCUAAGGCAGAAAGGGGGCGGUGGCAAGUAGGGCCUGAAAUCCGCAUUGAAGGUAGAAUACAGAGUGUAAAUACAACGAUAAAGGCUACACAGUGACUGGAACCUGCGGGUGUCAGAAGAGCAAAGGCUGGAGGGCCAGGGAGGAGAGGGGCUGGAGGGCAGAUGAAACUGGCUUUUAGCCCCACAGACCCUCCCACCUCUGCCUUGGAUAAGGCUGUGUCUGUCACAUCCGCUUGGAAACCCAUCCUUUCUCCCCAGUGCACGCCCCCUCCCCUAACCCUUGCUCGCUUUGGGGGGGGGGGUCGUCUAAGCCACAGCCACCAGGAAUUCAGCACCAAACUCGUGAACAGCAAACACUUGAUCCUCCACCCCAAUCUGCUAGGGCUGGGUCCCCUCCAUGUUUUAGUCAAGUUCAAAAUCACUGCCUCAAGAGAAGCAGGGGGAAGUGGGAUUCGAGGGGUGGGGUGGAGGAGGAGGGGAAAGAAGAUGAGGCAGAGACAGAAAUGGAGGCAGUGAAACACGAAAUACUCCACGAGCAAGAGUUAUGAUCAUAAGCACGCCAAUAGUGUGAUGUUCUGAUCAAUAUGGCGGACACUGUCAUUCAUACAACUAGAGGCGCUCUCAUUCCCUCCCCGCAAACACCGACCCCAGGAGUUGGGGUGGGGGACCCAGAACCAACGUAGGGAGUGGGGGAGGGGAGGCAACCUCGGGUUUCUUCUGUGUGUGCGCGAAUUAAAAACCAGGCCUGGAGAGCAAAUAUGGGUGAGCAAGAUAAUAAAAACGAUAUAAAUUAUUCUUAAUAAAAGUACAAAUCCCAAUGACACAGGGACUUACUUCAUCUGCUUCACAAUGGUGCUUUUUCCUGAUUCUCCAGCCCCUGUUGGGACACACAGAGGGGGGGAAACUGAUCGAAAACAGAGAUCUCAGGUGCCCAAUAUUCUAUAGACCUUGCUUCCUGCAGAGGUUGCUGGGGACAGUUGCCUAGAUCUACUGUGAACCAGAUUCAGAAAAAAAUUUCACUGCCAUUUGUACAAGACUGCAUUUGAUGGACCGAAGUGCCAACCUGAGAUCAGGAUUACAGAGAUCCAGAGUACGGAGAGCAGGAAUACUGACAUCCAUAAUACGGAGAUCUAGAGUACAGAGAUCCAGAGUACAGAGAGCAGGAAGACGGAGAUCCAGAAUACAGAGUGAAGGAGGGCAGAGUUCCAGAAUACAGAGUGCAAGAGGAUGGAGAUCUAGAAUACAGAGUGCAGGAGGACAGAGUUCCAGAAUACAGAGUGCAGCAGGACGGAGAUCUAGAAUACAGAGUGCAGGAGGACAGAGUUCCAGAAUACAGAGUGCAACAGGACGGAGAUCCAGAAUACAGAGUGCAGGAGGACAGAGUUCCAGAAUACAGAGUGCAACAGGACGGAGAUCCAGAAUACAGAGUGCAGGAGGACGGAGAUUCAGAAUACAGAGUGCAGGAGGACAGAGUUCCAGAAUACAGAGUGCAGGAGGACAGAGUUCCAGAAUACAGAGUGCAGGAGGACAGAGUUCCAGAAUACAGAGAAUGGAAACACCGAGAUCCAGAGUACAGAGAGCAGAAGUACAGAGAACCAGAGUACAGAGAUCUGGAGUAGGGAGAUCUAGAGUACAGAGAGCAGGAGUACUGAGAUCCAGAAUACAGAGAACGAGAGUGAUGAAAUCCGGAGUACCGAGAGUGGGAGUCCUGAGAGCAGGAGUACAGAGAGUGGGAGUCCUGAGAGCAGAACUACAGCGAGUGGGAGUACAGAGAUCCGGAGUACAGAGAUCCGGAGUACAGAGAGCAGGAGCACCGAGGUCUGGAGUACAGAGAGCAGGAGCACCGAGGUCCGGAGUACAGAGAACAGGAGCACCGAGGUCUGGAGUACAGAGAGCAGGAGCACCGAGGUCCGGAGUACAGAGAGCAGGAGCACCGAGGUCCGGAGUACAGAGAGCAGGAGCAUCGAGG
rnacentral:lncRNA from 1 species